rnacentral:tRNA from 1 species
GGCAGCGUAGCUCAGUGGCAGAGCAGGGGACUCAUAAGCCCUUGGUCGGUAGUUCAAAUUCUACCCGCUGCCA